rnacentral:rRNA from 1 species
GACGAACGCUGGCGGCGUGCUUAACACAUGCAAGUCGAACGGAAAGGCCCUGCUUGCAGGGUACUCGAGUGGCGAACGGGUGAGUAACACGUGGGUGAUCUGCCCUGCACUUCGGGAUAAGCCUGGGAAACUGGGUCUAAUACCGGACAGGAGCCAUUUUUAGUGUGAUGGUUGGAAAGUUUUUUCGGUGUAGGAUGAGCUCGCGGCCUAUCAGCUUGUUGGUGGGGUAAUUGCCUACCAAGGCGGCGACGGGUAGCCGGCCUGAGAGGGUGGACGGCGACAUUGGGACUGAGGUACGGCCCAGACUCCUACGGGAGGCAGCAGUGGGGAAUAUUGCACAAUGGGCGCAAGCCUGAUGCAGCGACGCCGCGUGGGGGAUGACGGCCUUCGGGUUGUAAACUCCUUUCGCUAGGGACGAAGCUUUUUGUGACGGUACCUAGAUAAGAAGCACCGGCUAACUACGUG